UCCGUAGGGGUGUCCUGCGGAGGGAUCAUUACACAACAAAAAUAUGAGGGUGUGGUUUGCUGGCAACAGCGUCCGCCCCAAGUAUUUUUCACCCAUGUCUUUUGCGCACUUUUUGUUUCCUGGGCGAGUUCGCUCGCCACCAGGACCCAACCAUAAACCUUUUUUUAUGCAGUUGCAAUCAGCGUCAGUAUAAUAAUUCAAUUUAUUAAAACUUUCAACAACGGAUCUCUUGGUUCUGGCAUCGAUGAAGAACGCAGCGAAAUGCGAUACGUAGUGUGAAUUGCAGAAUUCAGUGAAUCAUCGAAUCUUUGAACGCACAUUGCGCCCUUUGGUAUUCCAAAGGGCAUGCCUGUUCGAGCGUCAUUUGUACCCUCAAGCUUUGCUUGGUGUUGGGCGUCUUUUUGUCUCUCCCCUUGUUGGGGGAGACUCGCCUUAAAACGAUUGGCAGCCGACCUACUGGUUUUCGGAGCGCAGCACAAAUUUGCGCCUUCCAAUCCACGGGGCGGCAUCCAGCAAGCCUUUGUUUUCUAUAACAAAUCCACAUUUUGACCUCGGAUCAGGUAGGGAUACCCGCUGAACUUAAGCAUAUCAAUAA
rnacentral:rRNA from 1 species